UAGGGAAUCUUCGGCAAUGGGGGCAACCCUGACCGAGCAACGCCGCGUGAGUGAAGAAGGUUUUCGGAUCGUAAAGCUCUGUUGUAAGUCAAGAACGAGUGUGAGAGUGGAAAGUUCACACUGUGACGGUAGCUUACCAGAAAGGGACGGCUAACUACGUGCCAGCAGCCGCGGUAAUACGUAGGUCCCGAGCGUUGUCCGGAUUUAUUGGGCGUAAAGCGAGCGCAGGCGGUUUGAUAAGUCUGAAGUUAAAGGCUGUGACUCAACCAUAGUUCGCUUUGGAAACUGUCAAACUUGAGUGCAGAAGGGGAGAGUGGAAUUCCAUGUGUAGCGGUGAAAUGCGUAGAUAUAUGGAGGAACACCGGUGGCGAAAGCGGCUCUCUGGUCUGUAACUGACGCUGAGGCUCGAAAGCGUGGGGAGCGAACAGGAUUAGAUACCCUGGUAGUCCACGCCGUAAACGAUGAGUGCUAGGCGUUGGAUCCUUUCCGGGAUUCAGUGCCGCAGCUAACGCAUUAAGCACUCCGCCUGGGGAGUACGACCGCAAGGUUG
rnacentral:rRNA from 1 species